rnacentral:tRNA from 1 species
GGUGAGGUGUCCGAGUGGCUGAAGGAGCACGCCUGGAAAGUGUGUAUACGACAACGUAUCGAGGGUUCGAAUCCCUCCCUCACCGCCA